CAAGUCGCGCGGGAAGUUCACGAUGGAGGCAUCGGCCAAAGUCGUGGAUGGAGAGCGGCGAAAGGGAGAGUAACGCGUGGACCUCUACCCCGGGGUCCGGGAUAAUGCCCGAAAGGCAGGUAAUACCGGAUGACAUCUCUGGAUCAAAGUGCGGUCUUCGGACCGUUGCGCCCCGGGAGGAGUCCGCGUCCUACUAGCUUGUUGGUGAGGUAACGGCUCACCAAGGCUUUGAUGGGUAGCGGGUGUGAGAGCAUGGCCCGUCUCACUGGGACUGAGACACUGCCCAGACACCUACGGGUGGCUGCAGUCGAGAAUCUUCGGCAAUGGGCGAAAGCCUGACCGAGCGACGCCGCGUGCGGGAAGAAGGCCUUCGGGUUGUAAACCGCUGUCAGAGGGGAUGAAGGUCUUUGACUUGACAAAUCCUCAGAGGAAGGACGGGCUAAGUUCGUGCCAGCAGCCGCGGUAAGACGAACCGUCCAAACGUUAUUCGGAAUCACUGGGCUUAAAAGGUGCGUAAAACGGCUUGGCAAGUUGGGUGUGAAAUCCCUCGGGUCAACCGACGAACUGCGCCCAAAACUGCCAGGCUCCACGGAGAUAUACGUGAGCAGAAGCUUAUGGUGGAGCGGCGAACUACGUUGAUAUAAUAAAGAAACGCACCUCCUCGGGGGCCGC
rnacentral:rRNA from 1 species